rnacentral:rRNA from 1 species
UUUUAUGAGAGUUUGAUCCUGGCUCAGGACGAACGCUGGCGGCGUGCCUAAUACAUGCAAGUCGAACGCUUCUUUUUCCACCGGAGCUUGCUCCACCGGAAAAAGAGGAGUGGCGAACGGGUGAGUAACACGUGGGUAACCUGCCCAUCAGAAGGGGAUAACACUUGGAAACAGGUGCUAAUACCGUAUAACAAUCAAAACCGCAUGGUUUUGAUUUGAAAGGCGCUUUCGGGUGUCGCUGAUGGAUGGACCCGCGGUGCAUUAGCUAGUUGGUGAGGUAACGGCUCACCAAGGCCACGAUGCAUAGCCGACCUGAGAGGGUGAUCGGCCACAUUGGGACUGAGACACGGCCCAAACUCCUACGGGAGGCAGCAGUAGGGAAUCUUCGGCAAUGGACGAAAGUCUGACCGAGCAACGCCGCGUGAGUGAAGAAGGUUUUCGGAUCGUAAAACUCUGUUGUUAGAGAAGAACAAGGAUGAGAGUAACUGUUCAUCCCUUGACGGUAUCUAACCAGAAAGCCACGGCUAACUACGUGCCAGCAGCCGCGGUAAUACGUAGGUGGCAAGCGUUGUCCGGAUUU